rnacentral:rRNA from 1 species
AGUUCGAUUCUGGCUCAGAUUGAACGCUGGCGGAUGCUUUACACAUGCAAGUCGAACGGCAGCACGGACUUCGGUCUGGUGGCGGCGAGUGGCGAACGGGUGAGUAAUGUAUCGGAACGUGCCCAGUAGCGGGGGAUAACUACGCGAAAGUGUAGCUAAUACCGCAUACGCCCUUCGGGGAAAGCGGGGGACCUUCGGCCUCGCACUAUUAGAGCGGCCGAUAUCGGAUUAGCUGAAGUUGGUGGGUAACGGCUCACCAAGGCGACGAUCCGUAGCUGGUUUGAGAGGACACCAGCCACACUGGGACUGAGACACGGCCCAGACUCCUACGGGAGGCAGCAGUGGGGAAUUUUGGACAAAUGGGGAAACUCCUGAUCCAGCCAUCCCGCGUGUGCGCUGAAGGCCUCGGGCCAGUAGCACUUGGCAGGAAAGAACGGUACGGAUAAUACUCCCGGUGCAACUGACGGUACCUGCAGAAUAAGCACCGGCUAACUACGUGCCAGCAGCCGCGGUAAUACGUAGGGUGCAAGCGUUAAUCGGAAUUACUGGGCGCGUAAAGCGUGCGCAGGCGGUUCGAAAGAAAGAUGUGAAAUCCCAGAGCUUAACUUUGGGACUGCAUUUUUAACUACCGAGCUAGAGUGUGUCAGAGGGAGGUGGAAUUUCGCGUGUAGCAGUGAAAUGCGUAGAUAUGCGGAGGAACACCGAUGGCGAAGGCAGCCUCCUGGGAUAACACUGACGCUCAUGCACGAAAGCGUGGGGAGCAAACAGGAUUAGAUACCCUGGUAGUCCACGCCCUAAACGAUGUCAACUAGCUGUUGGGGCCUUCGGGCCUUGGUAGCGCAGCUAACGCGGUGAAGUUGACCGCUCAGGAGUACGGUCGCAAAGAUUAAAACCUAAAGGAAUUGACGGGACCCGCACGCGGUGGAUGAUGUGGAUUAAUUCGAUGCAACGUGAAAAACCUUACCUACCCUUGACAUGUCUGGAAUCCCGAAGAGAUUGGGAGUGCUCGCAAGAGAACCGGAACACAGGUGCUGUAUGGCUGUCGUCAGCUCGUGUCGUGGAGAUGUUGCUUAAGUCCAACGAGCGCAACCCUUUAAUCAUUAGUUGCUACGAAAGGGCACUCUAAUGUGAGACUGCCGGUGACAAACCGAGUGAAGGUGGGGAUGACGUCAAGUCCUCAUGGCCCUUAUGGGUAGGGCUUCACACGUCAUACAAUGGUCGGGACAGAGGGUCACCAACCCGCGAGGGGAGCCAAUCCCAGAAACCCGAUCGUAGUCCGGAUCGCAGUCUGCAACUCGACUGCGUGAAGUCGGAAUCGCUAGUAAUCGCGGAUCAGCAUGUCGCGGUGAAUACGUUCCCGGGUCUUGUACACACCGCCCGUCACACCAUGGAGUGGGUUUUACCAGAAGUAGUUAGCCCAACCGUAAGGAGGGCGAUUACCACGGUAGGAUUCAUGACUGGGGUGAAGUCGUAACAAGGUAG